rnacentral:rRNA from 1 species
CACACCGCCCGUCACGCCAUGGGAGUUGAUUUCACCCGAAGCCGGUGAGCUAACCUCUUACGAGGAGGCAGCCGUCCACGGUGGGAUUAGCGACUGGGGUG